CUCGCCGCCGUCACCACCUCCGCACCCCGCGGCGCUGCCCCCGGCCCCACGAACGCCGGCGUUGCCCCCAGGGCGUCCCGCUGGCAGCAGCGCGCCGGGCCCUGGUGGGGGCCGGCGAAACGUCCCCGGUCACUUCGUGUCACCUAAAAACACCUCCUUUACUGCCCUCCCCGAAUGAUAUCUGCCCGGAGUUUCCACCCCUCCGGGCGCAGUGGGAGUAACGCAAAGGUUAACCGUGCCGGAAAGUACCGCGCCGUGCGGGCCAGGAAAGCCCCGCCGGGCCAAGGUGCGAGCUCCGGCCGCCGCCCCGCCCGGGCCGGCUCCGCUCCCGGCAGCUCAUGUCGCUGUGCUCCUCUGGAGGGCUCCGCUCCCCGGGGAAGCUGUGGGUGCAGGCGUUUUCCCGGCAGGUGUUCAUAUAGCUUUCCAACAGAAGUACUGAAUUACAAAGAUGAGUGGACUGUGAUAUACUGAAUCUAGAUUUUCAAAAAUGGCCUGGAUUCAGAGUACCUUGGAAGUGACCAACAUAAUUUUGGAUAUCCAUCUUACACAGGAGCUGACUUUCCUUCUAGUUCCCACUGAAACCAAGUCUGAAGUCUGAAGAUGGUUGCACACACCAUUUUUCAUACAGAAAGCCAGACUUAGUUCCAAACAAAGCUGUCACCCUUUCCUGUGUUCUUUUUUUACCUAGCUGAACUAAGAAAAGUAGGCUUGUGUUAUUAACAAUCAAUUGUUACAGGUACUGCUACUUUUUUUCCCCCUCACUGUGGAAUAGGAAUUAGUUUCUUUCAACAUUUUUUUUUUAAAAUAUUGAUAACAUCUUUCUUUACUCUGUAGCUAUUUCUCAGUUAUUUUUGUAUGAUUAAAGCAUAUUGUUCCAAGUGAUAUUCCAAACCACUUCCAUGAUUGCAUGUCCUGUUCACUUAGGCCAUGUAAGUUUUGAAAGCCAUCUUCAUUGGCUGAUGGCAGGGCACCUAUCCUGUAAAUGAUCAUGGGGUUUUUUUCAGUUGAAAACAGAUGAUGCUCUCUGCAGACCUUCUGUCUAUUACUCCCAAUUCAAUCAUUGACACUUCAUUUCUCCUUUAUUGUCUGUAGCCUGUGACUAAAAUGCAGCAGUGACUCACUAUUAUAUAAAACAGGUCCAUAUUUUUCUUUUUAACUUUAUGCUUCUUUUCAAAGUACGGGUGUGCCAGCUCUAAUGUGCAUGUGGCAUCAUUGGGAAAGAAUUUGGAGGCAGAAUAAAAGUAUUCAUUCCUUUCA
rnacentral:lncRNA from 1 species